UACGUAGGGUGCAAGCGUUGUCCGGAAUUAUUGGGCGUAAAGAGCUCGUAGGCGGUCUGUCGCGUCUGCUGUGAAAACUCAGGGCUUAACCCUGAGCUUGCAGUGGGUACGGGCAGACUAGAGUUCGGUAGGGGAGUCUGGAAUUCCUGGUGUAGCGGUGAAAUGCGCAGAUAUCAGGAGGAACACCGGUGGCGAAGGCGGGACUCUGGGCCGAUACUGACGCUGGAGGAGCGAAAGCGUGGGGAGCAAACAGGA
rnacentral:rRNA from 1 species